rnacentral:lncRNA from 1 species
UUUACUCUCUAAUGGUCCAUUUUCCCUUCUUUUUCCAUCUUGAUUACACCUUAAUUAUGUUUUUCCCUUUUCCUUCUUUCUUUUGGGGUUAUCUAUUAGGUGAGAUUCUUCUAACCCUUCUUUUAACUUCCCUCACUUUAAUUAUGGAUCACUUUUUUUUCGUCAUUAUUAUUUUUUUUUUCUAAUAAUGCCUACCGAGUUUUUCUAAGCUUAAUAUAUAAAAAGGUAAAGUUCAGUACAGCGAGAAAAGUAAUGUUCACCGCAACCUCGAAUCAAGCUAAAAGCAUUGAGCUCUUACUAGUCUUAGCACAAUUAUUCACUUCUCUACAAACAUAAACAAUCUUAACAUCCUGCACGAGGAUAAUACAAUGAUCAAUAAUCUUAAACGUUUCAGCAAAUCUCCAUUGACGAAGCACUGGAUUGAAGCACCACGAUAUAAUCGCCAUUGAGUCCUUCUCAACAGCCAAAUCUCUAUUAUUUUCCCAUUCAGACUUAACAAAAACUUCCAAUGCAAUUCUGAUAGCAGUGAGUUCUGUAAGAUCAGAAUCAAAAUUUUUUAAGGGACCCGAGAGAAUAGCAAUUAGCUUACCAGUAUCGCCCUUCAGAAUACCUCCCUAACCUGCACGUCUUGGAUUACCACUCGAGGAGCCGUCCACAUUGAAUUUAAGGUAGCCCAUGGACGUGGCUGGGGCAUUCACACCAUGUUAGUUCGAAGGGGAUUCUUCACAGUAAGAGAAAAACUUGAAGAGGGAGAAUCCCACCAAGCUUCUUCUGAAAACCAAGCACUUCCAAAUGCAGCUUUCGUUCAAAAAGGUACACAAAUUUUAGGGGAUUGACUUGGAAUCUUUGGAUUAUCUUUUGUGCUUCAAUGCUUUGAUCCUUAUAGCUUGCUGGAAAUGGUGUUGAUUUUCAGGAGGAAAAUCUAUUACCAUAGAGGAAAUCUUGCUUCUAUUAAGGUUACUUUUUGUUUUGUUUUUUUAAUCGAGCAAGAGUAAGAACAACAG